rnacentral:rRNA from 1 species
UACGAAGGGGGCUAGCGUUGCUCGGAAUUACUGGGCGUAAAGCGCACGUAGGCGGCUUUCUAAGUCGGGGGUGAAAUCCUGGAGCUCAACUCCAGAACUGCCUCGAUACUGGAAAGCUCGAGUCCGGGAGAGGUGAGUGGAACUGCGAGUGUAGAGGUGAAAUUCGUAGAUAUUCGCAAGAACACCAGUGGCGAAGGCGGCUCACUGGCCCGGUACUGACGCUGAGGUGCGAAAGCGUGGGGAGCAAACAGG